rnacentral:tRNA from 1 species
AAAAAUUUAGUUAAGUUUAUAACGUUAGUUUGUCAAUCUAAAAUCAUUAAUUAAAUUAAUAAUUUUUA